AGUCGGUGAUGCCAUCCAGCCAUCUCAUCCUCUGUCGUCCCCUUCUCCUCCUGCCCAGCAUCAGAGUCUUUUCCGAUGAGUCAACUCUUCGCAUGAGGUGGCCAAAAUACUGGAGUUUCAGCUUUAGCAUCAUUUCUUCCAAAGAACACCCAGGACUGAUUUCCUGUAGAAUGGACUGGUUGGAUCUCCUUGCAGUCCAGGGGAUUCUCAAGAGUCUUCUCCAACACCACAGUUCAAAAGGAUCAAUUCUUCGGCGCUCAGCUUUCUUCUCACAACAAAAGGGGAAAGAAAGUAAUCUAACAUUUACCACGGAAAGCCUAGAAGACAUCUGGCCCCUGUGGACACACAGAAGCCCUAAGAAGGGAGAACAAGGCCACUGUGUUGAAAUGUCUGAGGAAGGAGAGGAUGGUGGGAGGAAGCCAACCAGUCCCUUCUAAAACUCAAUGCUCUCAGCCAGGUGAUUUGGUCAGACAAGGCAGUCGAAGGCAUGACAUUAUAAGAGGUGAAGCUGGGCUUUGAAGCCGGCAUCAGGACACAGGACACCUGCACUCCAGCCACUGCAUAACCUGCUUGCCAGAAGACCCCGUGGGUCCCUGCCCUUCCCUGUGCCUUGGUUCAGAAGCUUCUCACACAUGGAGGACAGCUCACUGGGUCUUUUGGAGUCUUGAUUUCCUCAUUUUUAAAAUGGGGGACAGUGGCCUGGGCAACACAUUUUGAACAGUGAAUUGUAUUUAGCAAUUGAAAUCAGAUGGUUUCCAAUAAAGUCGACAGUGGAUUAGAUGGUCCCUGAAUUAUUUUCAGCCUGGACAUUCUAGGAGCCUUUGUCCUCGUCACUCAUUCUAAUAUUCCCC
rnacentral:lncRNA from 1 species